CCAAACAUGGCGUGGAUGAGUGUUCACACUACUUGUAAAAAUCGCUUGGGUGCAAUUAACUCUAUAGAAAGAUGGAUACGUAAAAUUAGCUUGGGUAAGUUCUGUCAAUGAAAAAAUAGCUUGGACAAUUAUCAAUAAGGGAAUAUAUACAGACUUUCAGCCAUUUUCAAUCAUCAAAUGUUGAGCAGCUUCAAACAUGUCAACACCACCGGCCAAGAGAGCGAGAGUUGCGAUCACCGCUAGCUUGAAGAAAAAGAUUUGUCAGCGUAAAGUGGAACACCGACUUUCUUCUCUUCGCUUUGUUAUGCGAAUGUAAUUAAAUUAUCGGUUUAAUACAGUGAUUGUUAUGUACAUGUACAUGUACAUGUGUUGCAUUGAAGAAUGUAGUGCUAAGUUUCCUGUGGAAAAACAUACCUUAAAUAAUGUUUUUAACAAUAUUUUGUUUUGUUAAUUUAAAAAAAAUCUAAACUUUUUUUGUAGUGCUUAUGGCUAUCAAAAUAAAAUAUUUAAUUGU
rnacentral:sRNA from 1 species